rnacentral:rRNA from 1 species
UGCAGAGGUCCCGAGCGUUGUUCGGAUUCACUGGGCGUAAAGGGUGCGUAGGUGGCGUGGUAAGUUUGAUGUGAAAGCUCAGGGCUUAACCCUGAAAUGGCAUUGAAUACUACUGUGCUGGAGGUUUGGAGGGGGGACUGGAAUUCUUGGUGUAGCAGUGAAAUGCGUAGAUAUCAAGAGGAACACCAGUGGCGAAGGCGGUUCUCUGGGCAUGAUCUGACGCUGAGGAGCGAAAGUGUGGGGAGCGAACAGG